rnacentral:rRNA from 1 species
GACAGGGGGUGCAAGCGUUGUUCGGAAUUACUGGGCGUAAAGGGCUCGUAGGUGGCCGACUAAGUCAGACGUGAAAUCCCUCAGCUUAACUGGGGAACUGCGUCUGAUACUGGAUGGCUUGAGUUUGGGAGAGGGAUGCGGAAUUCCAGGUGUAGCGGUGAAAUGCGUAGAUAUCUGGAGGAACACCGGUGGCGAAGGCGGCAUCCUGGACCAAAACUGACACUGAGGAGCGAAAGCCAGGGGAGCAAACGGG